CUUGUGUCCCCAUGUCCCUGAGUCUCCAUGUCCAUCUGCCCAGCAGGGAGCAGCUCACGCUGUGUGCAAUGCAGUAAGACUGGCAGUGCUGAUGCACGUGGCUUUAUUUCUGUAAUCCAAUGCAGACCCUGUUCUUUCAGGCUGUUUCACACAAGGAGCCGGGCAGGCGGAACAAAGCCGCAGUGCCUGCUGCCCUCAGGCAGUGCCCAGAGCUGUGCUGCAGGACAGCAGCUCUGCUGGGGCUGUCUGCUUCCACCUCAGUGUUUGAUUCAAUCACUGUGAAUAAACUGCAGGAAGAGCUGACCUUCGCAGUGACCCCUCCUGCACAAAGCUCACGUUCCAGCUGAGAGCUGCAUUUUUGUUUUUAGCAUGAGUUUUACGCACUCUAAUUAAAUCAGGGAGCUCGUUUAAUAAUCCUGGUUGGCUCAAGCAGCUGAAGCAGUUCGUUCACAGUUGCUUUAUUAAUGCAGCAGUAAUCUCCAGGUUGGGAGUUCACCUCCUUGAUUGUUCAGCCGAGUCUUUGGGAAUGGGGAUAAAUGUGAAGACAGCAGCUCUGCUCUGGCUCUGAUGUGCUCUGGUUGGGAAGAAGCACCAUGCACAGAGGCACAUGCCCAGAGAGGAUGGAGCACUGAUAGUUUCCAUCAGACUUCUAUAUGAACCCAUUUUGUAUUUCCACAGCACCCAGCACAGUCCAGCUCCAUUAAGUCACGAAUCUGAGCUCCUGGGCAUCCACUCCAGUUAAUAAAUCUGUUGUCACCUGCUGAUGGCUGAAAGCAAGCUUAACAAAACUCUGACUGUGUUCUGAGUUGGAUAUCACAUUGUUCCAUAAGUUGUUCAGCACUGCGGAGAGCUCCCUCAUCCCACCGCCACGUGUGCGCCAUGGAGUGAGUUUGUUCAGCGUAAAUCCUCUUCUUUAGACUCAUUAAAGUGCGCCAAGCCUCUGUAAGAGUCAUUUGACAAACUCCCCUGAGUGGCAAAGUAGUGUUUAUUACGAUUAUUAUUACUAUUAUUAUUUUUCUCUCAGCUCCAUCUGUAAUGUAAACACCAUUAUGUUUUAAUUAUCUGUUUGAAAAAGAGAUUUAAAAGCGAAUCCCGCAGGAACCCGGGCAGCAUACACAAUGGGGUCCCCCUGAGAGCCGCCCGCUGGGUGAGCACAGGAGGCAGUGAUGCUCUGAAGGGAACACAGCUCAGCAGCAUGGCCACCCACACCACCACCCCAUCCCACGGCAGUGGGUCUGAGUGCUCCAGAAGCGUGUUUUGUUCCUCUUGGUGCAUUGUCAACAUUAGGGGGAGGAAAAUGCUGGGGAAAAAACCACCUUUCUCCACCUUUCAUAACGAGAUUGCCACCCAUUUAGCAGAUCAGGGACUCCAAGGAGCAUCAUCCUGGUUGCCAUGGUGCCCAGUCUCAGCCCGGCAGUGCCCAGCGGGAGCUCUGCAGCUGCACAUCACCAGCUCUGCUGGCUCUGCUGCUCCCCUUCUCCUCCCUCCCUCCUCAGCAGCCCUGCCCUGCCACAGCAACAGGGAUCUCUGCACCAAGGACUGUGUUCCAAUGGGCAGCAUUUGGUUUGGAGGGGGACAUUCGGAUUCACCCCAGUAAAGGAAAUGGGAAGGGUAAUUCAGGAAAACAAGACGUGCAGAUGAAUUCAUGAAUUAAAGACACUGCUGAAAGGAGAGGCACGCUGAGGGAAUGAAGUCAGAUCAAAAACAAGACAGGAAUGAAUUGUUGCAAAACCUGAAAAACAUUUCUCUCGCUUCUUAAGCCUGAAGUAAACUCAGCUCGGCGACCCCUUUUUCACACCCUUGCAUCAGGACGAACCCAUUUGCCAGUCCUCCUCCGCAAUGCAAUCACGCCGCUGUUUAAUGUUCUGCAUUUUCCAUUAUCGCUAAUCUGAGCUGAAGGGCAGAGCUCAGGCUGCUCCCAGCCCCUUACCAGCAGCGCUCUGCCUGCGCAAGAGGGAACAGUGCCUGCACAACCCUCACCCUGCCCUCCUCUAAUGCUGAUUGCAGUGCUCAGCAGUGCACGACCGUCUUCAGGACUGCAAAACUCUCCUUCCUGCACUGCAGAGACCUCAGAACUCCCCCAGGAGAUGUGCUGUAACAUCAUGGGACGGCCUCAAAACCAAAGGGCUCCUGAAUAUCCUGCACUGAGGUCCUCCUGCGCUCUGCAAACCCAGAGUUCCUGUGGGAGGAAUGAGGCUGAGAAGACAUGAGAUGAGAAUAUUAACACCCCAGGGUUACCAGAUACAAAAAAAAAUUGAUUUUUAAUAACUCUAACCAUCUCUUCAGCUUUCAUUAGUCCCUUCUUUGGCUUUAUGGUGCUGGGCAUGAAGAAUAUGAGGAUUUGAAGAAUUAACUGAGUUAAUGAGGGCUGAUUAUUAAUGUUCAGAGCUCAAUAAAAAAAGGGAGAGAAAUAAAACACAAAAAAUGAGCUGAAAAUAAGGGUGAUCUUUCAUUCCCCCAAAAUGAGAUACACUGAAUUAUUGUUAUAUUUAAGGCACCAAAGGAAUGGAAAUAAAUACCACCCAUUAGCUAUUGAAGAACCUGUGAAACUCAGUGCAAGCAGAUGUCCGAGUCAGAGGAAGAGGGUGCUAAUUAGGAAGCAGCACUGAGGACUGCUGCUGAGGCUUCAGGCCGCCCCUUUGGGGACAGCACGUAGAGCCCUGAGCACUGCAAGCAGCUCAUCAGAGCAGGAGAACCCGCUCUGUAUUUGGAAACCACUUGGAACUCAGCUCAGCUCUAGUGGCUCUAGUGUUUGCUCCAGCAGAAGACCCAUUCCUGGGCACCUUCGAAUACCUGGCCAUGAAUUCCCCUUCUCUAAUGAGUGCUGUGCAGCAGAACCAUUGGUUCUCCCAUGUGUUCAGGUUGCAGAGUCUUCAGGGGAGGAAUUGCCUGUGGAAGUCUGAACUCAGUCCAGUUACAACAACAGCACAGACCUCACAAACAGAAAUCCACACCUUCCUCCAUCCCAGUGCCCUCACCAGCCUCACCCUCACCAGAAAAGGAAAGCACUUCACUUAUCUGCAUAGAAAGAACCACAGAAUUGACUGUCAUUGCACCUUCGCCAUGGGUGGGAUCGUCCAGGAUUGUCAGGGCUAAUGGUAAUUGAUGUUUCCUUUCACACCUGCUCUCUUUCCUGCUUUAUUAAGCCUCUGCAAACACCGCUGUCUCUGGGGAAGCAGUGGGAGUGGAGGAGGAAACCUAUGGAAGAGAACAAUUCCAGUUGUUCAGCGCAGCACUUUGCUAAAUUGCAUCCAGCCUCUUUUGCAGAGUAAUAAAGUGUUGUCUGAAAGGAGGCAUGGAGUUUUAAUUUUCUCAUUGUCAGUGGAUGCUGUAAUCACGUAAUUAACAAAGUGCAGGAGAUAGUCACUUAAAGCAAGCCAAGAAAGCCAGCACACAGAGCAGAUGCUUGGGGGAGCAAACAACUUUUAUUUGUGCUCCUCCAGAACUGGAGACCUUUUUAGUACUUAAAAGAUGGAAGAGUCGCAUUUGGAUAACAGCAGUAUCUACAAGGAGGAGAGUGCUUUGUUCUGCUGCUUAUCCCCUUAAACUUCCCAGUUCCAUUCCCCUGCAUUGCCCCACUCCAGCAUGGGUCCCCUAUGGGGUGGAUCCUCACAUCUGAAGUCGUUUCCCACCAACCAGGGGACAUCGAUCUCUGCUUCUUCUCCCACAGCCUCCAGGUUUCUCCCCAUCCCAGCACUCUUCACUGUAUUUAUAUUUGUUGGGGUGUGUUUCAGGGUGAGGAGAUGUCAUCUAUUUGCAGGUGUAACUUUCAUCCUUAGCAGCCAUUGACCAAAAAAAGACAGUGUGGAGGAAGAGAGGUGCUGGUUUUUAUGCAGGAAAUGCCUCCUAAAAUCCGGGAACCUAGCAAACAAUUACAGCAGUGGAAGGAUAGUGGAGAUUUAGAGAUGCAAGAGCGCUGACAAAGGCUAAGCCUGACCCAUUUAUCUCCCAGCCCCUCUCAGAAUAUUUAACAGAAGUGAAGCACCUCGCAAAAGUGGAAUGGGUGAAUUUAAACCAUGGCCUCUUCUGUUCUGGCUUUUUAAUUUCACAUCCCAGGGAUCCUUUCCUCCCCAUCCACAAACGUGGAGUCCUCUUCAUCUCCAGAGAUACAUCACCUGCCUGUCUGCACCUCCACGCUGCUGAACUGGAAAGCUUUUGCUCAGUGGACGUUGCAGCUUUGCUACCUUUAAUUAGGAAGAGACUCCAUCCCCCAGGCUGCAGGCAGGGAACGCUGACGGUGGGAGCACUGUGGGGCCUGGGGAGUUGGUGUGUGGACCAAAGUGAACUCAGUGAAAUAUCGCACAUCCCAGCACUGUUCCUCCUGCUGUUUGCUGCUUUGAAGCUCCUUUGAUUAUCAGACUCCAUUUAAAAGUACUUGUUUGCUUUAUACCUCAUUAACCGAGAAAGAAAUUGCCCAACAGAGGCCAUAAUUUUAUGGUCCUGACCUGUGAAUGCUCUGUACUUAUAUGGCUUGGAGGAAAUCGUCAAGGUUUGCAGUAGUAUUUAUGGUAUGAUGGUGUUUAAGGGCCCCAGCUGAGAAUAAGACCUAGAGCACUGGGUCCUGUGCAGAUACUGUGAAAGGCAUUGUGUGAGAUUCAAGCUCAUGGCUUAAAACUGAGGGAGCAGACGUGCAGUGGGGCUGCAGGAUAAUGUGGGGCUGGAGGGCAGUGUGGGUCUGAGGCUGUUAACGGGCUAUGGGUACCACAGAGCCUGUCUGUGAGCAUUAAAGCAGAGCUGAAUGGAAUACAUCCAUCAUCAAGGCUUCGAUGUGUACUGGGAUUUAAUGGGGAGCAGCGCUCAGAUUAUACAAAGGUUUGAAACUGAGACCAUCAGUGGAACUGCCCCUACAGUCGGUGUUGGUGCUUCUCAGUGCCUCAUUCAGUGUUUUUGGAGCAGGGCCAGAAACCAGACAAAGACCUCCAACAUCUCAUUUUUUUUUCCCCAUAAGAUCACAUCUGUGCAAAAUUGAUGCCAGGUUCAUACACAAGCACGAACGCACAGGCUCUCUGGAGCGAAUCCCAGUUCAAUAGAAGGGAUGUGAUUUCUGUGUGCCGCACACAGUCCCUGUUCUGAUUCUUUCCAUGACCAUCACAGUCUGCAGUUGCUCUUUCAGAGGGGAAGAGGAACCAUCCCCAGCCCUCCCACACGAGCAGCAGUGCAGAGCCCACAUCCACAGCAGCCAUCAAUCACAGCUCCUCAAACUCCUUCUGCACCUCUCCACUGCAAUUCCAAAUCACUCCCUCAGCUGUGGCAGCUCAUGAGGGCUGAUGUGGUUUAUCCUCUGGAACAGACACGAAGGGAUAGGAGUGACUUGUCCAUAAACUCCCCUUUGGUUUUCACCCCAUAUCCUUCCUGAUCCUUCAGCCUUUUUAGUUUUUAACCAUCAGCAGCUUGUGCCAGCAGGCUGAAGCCCAACCUGUACUUCUGUACCACCACCACCACCAUUCACACCGAGCUCCGUAUUGUGCCCAGAAAGGGAAAUCCUUCCUUUCUUUUAGCAUUCACUUCUGCUACCACGAUGGGGGAUGCAGCAGCCCCUGUUGGAGCUUCCAGACACCGGAGGAUUGUUCAGCAGCUGUCCUUUGGGUACCUCGGAGGGCUCAACAGCCCUUGGAGAACACAAAGCUGCAGGGAAGGAUGCUCAUGCAGCUCCUGGAGAAUGAUGAGCCUCAUUAAUGGAUCACUCCCCUGCCAGGGUAGGUGUCAGACUCAGCAAAAGCCAAUCAGUGCAAGUGGGAGCACGGGUUGUGCAGGAGCAGCAGAUCCCAUUGAAAGCCAAGGAAGUCAGCAGAAAAAUUCCUGGCGAUUGCAACAGAAAUUGGUCUCAGGUGGAGAUGAAGGGAGGAAUCACAGAACUGUUUGCCACGGCCCCACUGGUUCCUUCUCAUGCUGCCUGACAGGCAGCCCUGGCCUCACUGCACGCCUGCAUGAGCAAGCGUGGGACAGACUCUUCUUCAGCCAAAGGGUCACGCUCAGAUGUAAAACUCGAGUGAUGAAUUGUUUCCAGAUGCACAGCCAGGUCAAGGGAAGGAGUCAGCAGUCCCUGGGCUGUUUUAUGAUCUAAUUUAAUUUCUCAACUGUGUCAGUCUGUGGCUCAUAUAGUCUCUGACAUAUGUACUUGGCCAAAACCUAGAAAUAGGAGUAUGUGGGUGGCAGAAUAACUCUGGAUGAGACAGGAAUAUAGACUCUAUCAGCAGAAUGAAAUCAUCAGCCCAUUAUUGGUUUGAAUUACUUACCUGUACUCACCUACAGUCAGAACUCAGGCUGAUAUAUAGCAGCUGAAGAUCCUUCCUCAUGGCAGCAUUAUCAGCAGAGAAGAAACUCCUUACAAAUGUGCAUUAAUCAUCCGGGAGACGGCGUUUGCAGCUCCACGCACAGCUGAAUUUUGCCCUGAGCUGUGUCAGCCUGGUCUGCAUUUCCAAUGGGAGCUGCAUCAGCACUGCCGAAGGCAGAACUCCUGCCAGCCUGGUUCGGAGCAGUGAAACAGAUAAAGGUGUAAAUCUGACCAGGGCCUUCUCUCCUCCUGUUCAUUUACAAAAGUGCCCGAAUCAUGCCUACAUUUUAUCUGACACCCUCACUGCCUCCAGAUGCAUGAAGAACAAUUCCAGGCUUUGUGCUGAGGUCCAAACCCCCCAGCAAACAGCUGUACGAGGCCACACAAGCAGCUGGGGGGGGGAGGGUGGGAGGGAACUCAGCUGCGUGAUGGCUGCUGAGGUCACAGAACACCACAAAAGCUGUAAUUUUCCCACAAUUGAUUUCCUAAAGAUAACUUGUGGCCUGUGCGCAGCGAAGGCUAAUUUAAACGAGAAAGAUGAGUCUUUCCAACACACCUUGAUUGGCAAUUGUGAUAAAUUCCUGUAAUUACUAUUGACUGCGCAGAGGGUUUUCAUUUGUUAAAGAUGUUGCUGAAAUGACAGCCCAGAAAUGAAAUAAAAUGGGUGAAGGAGAAAGAUGCACAAAGUGCCAUCUUUGCAGAGUUUCCCAAGUAAGUCUGCAAUGAACCAUCGGUGUUCCAUCUCUCUCCCUCCUUCAUCUCACUCCUCA
ensembl:lncRNA